GUCAGAGUGUCCGAGUGGUUAAGGAGUUAGACUUGAACGUGCCCCGGCAACAGAUAUCUAAUGGCUUCGGCCGCGCAGGUUCAAAUCCUGUCUCUGACG